UUUUGUUUGCAAAUAUCUGCUCCAGUUAAAUCCUUCCCAACACGUCCAGUCGUUUCUCAGUUGUUGUAGCUUUAUACAUUGUGUAACUUCAUGCCGAUUAACCUUGUUAUACUAUUUGAGUUUUAAAGUAUUGUAUUUCCUGCUGUGGAGAUGACAUUUAAAAAAAACGACGAGAAGAUGCCACAAUUACACAAUAUAGAAAUCUCCCUUCCUCUCCAGACGGCCUGCUGGAAAAUCUGGCAAGCGUCGAUUUGCUCGUGAGCGCGCUGGCAGAGCUUGGGUCACGUGGCCGUGUUGGUGACGUCGGCGGAGGGGGGCAGAUGCAAGAUGGCGGUGGGGAUCUGAGUUGGAGGGAAGGGGAGGAAGCCGAGCGCCGAUUGUUACCAUCCGCCGAAUCUCUUAGGGCGAUGGCCUCCGCUGGAGAAGUUAGCGGGGAAGCAGCAAGCUGUGGUGACCCUUCGUAAAAAAUGGAUGCAAAACUUUUCCGCAAAACCUGGAUUUAUGAAAAGUACAAAAUGCCGAAUUGUACUCGGAAGAGCCAUCAGGCAAAAUGUCAAAGUGACUAACAACAUGGGAGCAAACGCAUCAAACUACCCUCACUCGUGUUCCCCGAGGGUAGGGGGAAACUCACAGACACAGCAGACUUUUAUAGGAACAUCAUCGUACUCUCAUCAAGGCUAUGGUUAUGAAUCAAAAUUGUACAGCCUUGAUCAUGGGCAUGAAAAACCACAGGACAAAAAAAAGAAAACGUCUGGCCUUGCAACACUUAAAAAGAAGUUUAUUAAACGGCGUAAAUCAAGCCGGUCUGCUGAUCAUGCUAAGCAAAUGCGAGAAUUGCUGUCAGGUUGGGAUGUCAGAGAUGUGAAUGCACUUGUGGAAGAAUAUGAGGGCACAGCAGCCUUAAAAGAGCUUUCUUUGCAAGCAAACUUAGCAAGACCAGAAGCCAGGACUUUGCAGAAAGAUAUGGCUGAUCUUUAUGAAUACAAGUACUGUACAGAUGUUGAUUUAAUAUUCCAGGAAACGUGCUUUCCUGUACAUCGUGCCAUAUUGGCAGCAAGAUGUCCAUUUUUUAAGAAGUUGCUUUCAUCUUCCCCUGAGUAUGGAGCUGAGAUUAUUAUGGAUAUAAAUACUGCAGGUAUAGAUAUGCCUAUGUUCUCAGCCCUUUUACACUACCUUUAUACAGGGGAGUUUGGCAUGGAGGAUUCCAGAUUUCAAAAUGUAGAUAUCCUUGUGCAACUAAGUGAAGAAUUUGGUACACCAAACUCUUUGGACAUUGAUUUGCGUGGGCUGUUUGAUUAUAUGUGCUCCUAUGAUGCAGUCCUCCGCUUUUCUUCAGACUCUGAGCUGGUGGAAACAUUUGGAGCACAGAGUUGCCUGGAAGAUGAACUCAGAGCUCACAAAGCAGUUCUUUCAGCUCGAUCUCCAUUCUUCCGUAACCUACUGCAACGGCGAAUAAGGACAGGAGAAGAAAUAACAGACCGAACAUUAAGGACUCCAACUCGAAUUAUUUUGGAUGAGUCCAUAAUACCAAAAAAAUAUGCAAAGGUUAUUUUGCAUUGUAUGUAUACAGAUGUAGUUGACCUGUCCUAUGUGUUGCACUGCAGUCCAUCAAUUGGGAGCUUAAGCGAAGUUCAGGCUCUAGUAGCUGGAAAGCCAAACAUGACUCGGGCUGAAGAAGCUAUGGAGCUGUAUCACAUAGCACUGUUCUUAGAAUUUAACAUGCUUGCACAAGGCUGUGAAGACAUUGUUGCAGAGAGCAUUUCUCUGGACACGCUUAUCACCAUUCUAAAGUGGAGCUCUCAACCGUAUGGUUCCAACUGGGUUCAUCGGCAAGCGUUGCAUUUCCUCUGUGAGGAGUUUAGCCAGAUCAUGAUUUCGGAUGUUUUCUAUGAACUUAACAAAGAGCACUUGUUAAGUGUAAUCCAGUCUGACUAUCUUCAGGCAAGUGAGCAUGAUAUACUUAAAUAUCUUAUUAAGUGGGGUGAAUAUCAGCUGAUGAAAAGAAUAGCAGACAGAGAGCCUAACUUACUGAGUGGCACAGCUCAUAGUGUAAACAAGCGAGGUGUGAAAAGGAGAGACCUUGAUAUGGAAGAGCUGAGAGAGAUCCUAUCUCCACUGUUACCGUUUGUACGCAUUGAACACAUUCUCCCAGUGAACAGUGACAUACUAAGUGACCCUAUGAAGCGAGGCCUAAUAAGCACCCCUCCUAUGGACAUGUUGCCAACUUCAGAAGGAGGAAAAUCAAACUCUUGGUUGCGGCAAAAGAAUGCUGGAAUUUAUGUUCGCCCUCGAUUGUUCUCUCCAUAUGUAGAAGAGGCCAAGUCGGUACUUGAUGAGAUGAUGGUAGAACAGACGGAUUUGGUUCGUCUGAGGAUGGUUCGAAUGUCCAAUGUCCCAGACACACUCUACAUGGUGAACAAUGCAGUACCUCAGUGCUGUCAUAUGAUUAACCACCAGCAAAUGAGCAACAGCCAGACAAUCCCUCCUACGGUGGUGGCAAAUGAAAUACCAGUUCCUCCUCUUCAUGUGUUGAAAGAAAUGAUAAGGCGGCUCCAGGAGCUUCGUCAUACUGAGCAGGUUCAGCGGGCAUAUGCCUUAAACUGUGGAGAAGGUGCUACUGUCAGUUAUGAAAUUCAGAUACGAGUUUUAAGAGAAUUUGGUCUUUCAGAUGCAGCAGCAGAAUUAUUACAGAAUCCUCACAAGUUCUUCCCUGAUGAGAGAUUUGGGGAUGAAAGUCCACUACUAACUGUGCGGCAGUCUGGAAGAUGCAGGAUAAAUAGUACUCCUGCUGCUGAAACAAUGUUUACCGAUCUAGACCCUUAUGUGGCCUUCCAUCCUCCACUGCCCCCACCACCACCACCUUACCAACCACCAGCAACUCCUAUGCAUAAUCAGUUCAAAUCUGGUUGGAAGCAUAGAGUACCCAGCCAGCAUCCCUCCCGCUCUUUCUCUUACCCCUGCAACCAUUCGCUGUUUCACUCUCGAACAAUCCCAAAAGCCACACCUCCAACCUACUUACCAGGAUCAAAAGCAUUACCACCUGAUUGUACUAACAGUACUGGACUUGGGAGGCAAACGGUGGCGGCAGCAGCAGCAGCAAUGGCAGCAGAACAGCAAGCGGUGUAACAGUGGACUAUGAUCAACAUCCGAAGACUAUCCACUUUGGUUGAGCAUCAGAUUAGAGCAAGAAUGCACUUUUUUCAAUCAUUGGGUAAGUGGUUAUUAUGUUUAGAAUUGGUGGUGUUUGGGAUUCUCACUGUAUGUGAAUAUAAAAUAGGAAGACUUGUUAAAUGACCAAUACAAAAGCAUAUGAUUGAGUGACCUUGAGGAGACCCUCUUACAAAAGCGUGCUUUACAUUCCCCAUGUAUUGGUACGUAAGAACUGGAGGAAGAUAAACAAAGAAUUUAACUAUUAUAAUUGCACUGCACUCAAUUGAGCUGUGCUAUUGGUUCAGCUCUUACACUGCUGAAAUUGUACAGCUUGUUGUUGAAAGUACAGUCUCCACAUGUACACAAGAAAUGUCCAACCUGAAAACUGAAAUGUUUAGCCUAAGUAUAUGUCCUAUUUCUUCAAAGGAAACCAGUGAGCAAUAUAUACUGAUGUUUCUGUUUACUUUAUUCACAUCUGUAUACAGGUGUUACAAUGGAUUAUCAUCAGUAUCAGAGAUUAAAAAUCCAUUUUGGUAGAGCAACUGUGCUGGGAGAUUAUACAGAUUAGAACAAGAAUGAACUUUAUUGGGCGUUACAGUGGACCAUGUUCGGCAUCUGAUGAGUGACAGUACUGUGUGAUCAUACAGAUUCGAGCAACAAUGCACUUUUUUUUAAAUCACAGAGGGCUACAAUGGACCAUGUUCUGCAUCAGUUGAGCAACAGUGCUGGGUGAUGAUACAGAUUAGAGCAAGAAUGCACUUUUUAAAUCUUUGGGUGUUACAAUGGACUACGCUCAGCAUCAGAGAUUAAAUAUCCACUUUGGUUGAGCAACAGUGCUGGGAGGUUAUACAGAUUAGAACAAGAAUGCAUUUUUUUUCAUUAUUGGGCGUUACAGUGGACAAUGUUCGGCAUCUGAUGAGUAACAGUACUGUGUGAUCAUACAGAUUCGAGCAACAAUGCACUUCUUUUUAAUCACAGAGGGCUACAAUGGACCAUGUUCUGCAUGAGUUGAGCAACAGUGCUGGGUGAUGAUACAGAUUAGAGCAAGAAUGCACUCUUUUUAAUUUUUGGGCGUUACAGUGGACAAUGUUCGGCAUCUGAUGAGUAACAGUACUGUGUGAUCAUACAGAUUACAGCAACAAUACACUUUUUUUUAAUCACAGAGCGUUACAGUGGACAAUGUUCGGCAUCUGAUGAGUAACAGUACUGUGUGAUCAUACAGAUUACAGCAACAAUGCACUUCUUUUUAAUCACAGAGGGCUACAAUGGACCACGUUCUGCAUCAGUUGAGUAACAGUGCUGGGUGAUGAUACAGAUUAGAGCAAGAAUGCACAUUUUUCAUCAUUGGCUUCUGAAGACAUCUGAAGACACUCCUCUUAAAGUACCUGUAAGAAGUGGGUGAGUGGGGCAGGCAUUUCAUACUCAUGGAUUGCUUGAACAGAAAGUGCUGUCUUCAGAUCUUUACUGACAGAGGCGUCAUUUGAAGAUUUUUAUUGGGACAGAGCUGAAACUUAUAAAAAAUACUUCUAGCAAACUGACUGUAGUUUUAUUAGGAAAAUAAAGAAUACUCCAUAUUUUUAAACCUUGCCUAUUUUGCUGUCUAUAUGUUGCAAAUGUAAUAUUUAAACAAGAGUUGCAUCUUUAGAUCUGUCAUAGCUAUACACAAAGCAAUAACAUUAAAUAUAUAUGUAUAAGAGAUCUAUCAUCAGGAAAUCUGUUAUACAGAAAGAUCAAGAAUAAAGCAGUGCCAUUUCCCAUAGAGUUCUGCUUAACUAGCAAUUCUUCACUUUUCACAGAUUUGCUUCUUCUCUGUAACAACACAGUGCUUUGUAGUAGCAAUAAAUCGGCAUCCAAUCGAAUGAAGGCUUUUGUUCCUCAUUCCAGGAUGACCUUGUAUCCAGAAUA